rnacentral:rRNA from 1 species
UACGGAAGGCAGCAGUGGGGAAUAUUGCACAAUGGGCGAAAGCCUGAUGCAGCUAUGCCGCGUGUAUGAAGAAGGCCUUAGGGUUGUAAAGUACUUUCAUCGGGGAGGAAAAAACAAAACUAAUAAUUUUAUUUCUUGACGUUACCCGAAAAAGAAGCACCGGCUAACUCCGUGCCAGCAGCCGCGGUAAUACGGAGGGUGCUAGCGUUAAUCAGAAUUACUGGGCGUAAAGAGCACGUAGGUGGUUUUUUUAAAGUCAGAUGUGAAAUCCCUGGGCUUAACCUGGAACUGCAUUUUGAAACUGAAAUACUAGAGUAUCGUAGAGGGAGGUAGAAUUCUAGGUGUAGCGGUGAAAUGCGUAGAUAUCUGGAGGAAUACCUGUGGCGAAAGCGGCCUCCUAAACGAAUACUGACACUGAGGGUGCGAAAGCGUGGGGAGCAAACAGGGAUUAGAUACCCGU